CGCGUCUGAUUAGCUAGUUGGUAAGGUAACGGCUUACCAAGGCGACGAUCAGUAGCCGACCUGAGAGGGUGAUCGGCCACAUUGGAACUGAGACACGGUCCAAACUCCUACGGGAGGCAGCAGUGGGGAAUAUUGCACAAUGGGCGAAAGCCUGAUGCAGCAACGCCGCGUGAGUGAUGAAGGCCUUCGGGUCGUAAAACUCUGUCCUCAAGGAAGAUAAUGACGGUACUUGAGGAGGAAGCCCCGGCUAACUACGUGCCAGCAGCCGCGGUAAUACGUAGGGGGCUAGCGUUAUCCGGAUUUACUGGGCGUAAAGGGUGCGUAGGCGGUCUUUCAAGUCAGGAGUGAAAGGCUACGGCUCAACCGUAGUAAGCUCUUGAAACUGGGAGACUUGAGUGCAGGAGAGGAGAGUGGAAUUCCUAGUGUAGCGG
rnacentral:rRNA from 1 species